GAUUAACGCUAGCGGCAGGCCUAAUACAUGCAAGUCGAACGGCAGCGGGUGUAGCAAUACAUGCCGGCGAGUGGCGCACGGGUGCGUAACACGUAUGCAAUCUACCUUUAACUGGGGAAUAACCCCUCGAAAGAGGGGCUAAUACCGCAUAAUACUUUGAUGGGACAUCCCAUUAAAGUCAAACUUACGGGGGUUAAAGAUGAGCAUGCGUCCGAUUAGCUAGUUGGCGGGGUAACGGCCCACCAAGGCGACGAUCGGUAGGGGAUCUGAGAGGAUGAUCCCCCACACUGGUACUGAGACACGGACCAGACUCCUACGGGAGGCAGCAGUAAGGAAUAUUGGACAAUGGGCGCAAGCCUGAUCCAGCCAUGCCGCGUGCAGGAUGAAAGUGCUAUGCACUGUAAACUGCUUUUGUUUGGGAAAAAACCCCUGGUUUCUACCGGGGCUGAUUGUACCAAAAGAAUAAGGACGGCUAACUUCGUGCCAGCAGCCGCGGUAAAUGACGU
rnacentral:rRNA from 1 species